GUUUGUAACAUGUUGAAUUUGUUUGCAGUGCAUUCUAAUGACACCAAGCCACAAACAUGCUGUGAGCAAACCAGCAAUGUACAUGUUAAAGGCCGAAUCACAAGGUGUGCGUAUGUUCCUGCCAGAAGGAAAUGCCUUGAAGCCUAUGUGUUCCUUAUGGAGAAUGGACAGCUUCACUGCAGCAGCAUGAAUGCCAGAGGAAUCAAAGCAACACUAAAAACAUUAGAAAAGAAAGGAAAACCAUGUGCGGGCAUAACCAGGAUCUAAUAUUUACAGCUAAGAAGACCAGAGGUUCCAGUCAUCAUGCAGCACACUACAAAGCAUUCAUGUUCAUUUAUUCAUUCAUUUUCAAUAACUAAUUUAUUCUGGUUAGGGUUGUAGUGGGUCCGGCAUCACCUGCUAUUAUGCCAGUUGUCAAGAGGAAAAUGUGUAUUAAUAGGUCUUUAUUUUUGUAUUCCUGUAUUCUGUGAUAUUUAUUUAAUAUUGUGUUAACCUCAGAUUAGAUGUAAUAACUAUUUAUUUGAAUUUUAU